CCUACGGGUGACAGCAGUGAGGAAUAUUGGUCAAUGGUCGGGAGACUGAACCAGCCAAGCCGCGUGAGGGAUGAAGGUCCAAAGUAUUGUAAACCUCUUUUGUCAGGGAACAAAAGCGGGCACGUGUGCCCGGAUGAGUGUACCUGAAGAAAAAGCAUCGGCUAACUCCGUGCCAGCAGCCGCGGUAAUACGGAGGAUGCGAGCGUUUUCCGGAUUUAUUGGGUUUAAAGGGUGCGGGGGGGGUCUGUUAAGUCCGCGGUAAAAGCCCGGGGCUCAACCCCGGCCCGCCGUUGAAACUGGCAGUCUCGAGAGGGAGAGAAGUAUGCGGAAUGCGCGGUGUAGCGGUGAAAUGCAUAGAUAUCGCGCAGAACUCCGAUUGCGAAGGCAGCAUGCCGGCGCCACACUGACGCUGAGGCACGAAAGCGUGGGUAUCGAACAGGAUUAGAUACCCGUGUAGUC
rnacentral:rRNA from 1 species